GAUGAAGAACGUAGCGAAAUGCGAUAAGUAAUGUGAAUUGCAGAAUUCCGUGAAUCAUCGAAUCUUUGAACGCACAUUGCGCCCACUGGCAUUCCGGGGGGCAUGCCUGUCCGAGCGUCAUUUCUGCCCUCCAGCCCGGCUGGGUGUUGGGCGCUGUCCCCCCGGGGACACGCCCCAAAGGCAGUGGCGGCGCCGCGUCGGGUCCUCGAGCGUAUGGGGCUUUGUCACCCGCUCGGGACGGACUCGUCGGCGCUGGUCUUCCUCCAGGCGACCCUUCGGGGCUCGUCUUCCUUCGGUUGACCUCGGAUCAGGUAGGGUUACCCGCUGAACUUAAGCAUAUCAAUAAGCGGAGGA
rnacentral:misc_RNA from 1 species